rnacentral:tRNA from 1 species
GUUCAUGUAGUUUACCUAAAACAUUACAUUUUCACUGUAAAGAAAAGCCCCGGCUUUAUGGAUG